ensembl:lncRNA
UAUUGUUAAUAACUUUUUAUUUUAUUUUAUUACAAUAACUGCAUACAUUAAAACUGUUGAAGGGAAGACCAAUGAUGUUACAAAGAAAACAAAAUGCAUUUCCCUUGUUUUGUCAUUUUAAAUAAAAAUUAAAAAUUAAAAAAUCAAAAUGUACAAAAGUGCUUCUUCCAUGGUGCAAAAAUACUGAAUAAAGUCAUAGUUUAAAAGGGAAAAAACAUUUGACAUAUUUCAACUUUCUAAAACGCUACCAAGCGGGAGGGAGGAAGAGAGGUGGAUUAUGGGAACGUCCCAAAUGGAACCCCGGUCCAUUUUUAGUGCACUAUAUUUAACCAGAGCUCUUAUGGGCCCCUGAUCAAAAGUAGUGCACUAAAUAGGGAAUAGGGGGCUAUUUGGGAAGCGUCCUACACCAGACGGUCAUAGAAACAACGACAACAACCCAUCGAUACAGAUUAAUAUUUAAAACGGUUUGGAUGAAACGACAACACCUCAAGAAAAUUUGAAAUAAUAUAAAACUAAAAAAAAAAAAAAAAAAAAAAUGUAACUAUCCCUCACAAGCCGGUCAAUCCAACAUGCCCUAAUAUUGCUUAGAUAUUAAUAAAUAAAGUUUAAAUUACCCACAUCAAACAAAAUAUAUGGACUUUCUAUCUGAACCAGUCUAUAUUAGUUCAACUAGAGCAGGAAAGGCUUAGCUCGUCGGCAACUAGCUCUGGUCCAAGGCGUUACGACGGCUCGCUAACACUGAAGGCUCAGCGUUUACAAGCCGCCCUAAAGCUUAUCGUCAACCAGACCUGUGACAGUCAGUUGCUUGGUUACAAAGGACUUUUUGAUACACACAACGAAACUCCCAUUUAUUCACUCCCUACCAGACCUAAAUGUCUGAAUUAAUAUGGCACUUGUUUUCAGUAACACCUCUAGAUAGUUUUUUUCCUUAUUUCAGUUGAUAUGUAAUCCAUGUGGGAGAGGAGGCUACGGGGUGGGGGUGGGAGAGGAGGCUACGGGGUGAGGGUGGGAGAGGAGGCUACGGGGUGAGGGUGGGAGAGGAGGCUGCGGGGUGGAAGAGGAGGCUGCAGGGUGGAAGAGGAGGCUGCAGGGUGGAAGAGGAGGCUGCGGGGUGAGGGUGGGAGAGGAGGCUGCGGGGUGAGAGUGGGAGAGGAGGCUGCGGGGUGAGGGUGGGAGAGGAGGCUGCGGGGUGAGGGUGGGAGAGGAGGCUGAGGGGUGGGAGGGAGAGGAGGCUGCGGGGUGAGAGAGGAGGCUGCGGGGUGAGGGUGGGAGAGGAGGCUGCGGGGUGAGAGUGGGAGAGGAGGCUGCGGGGUGAGGGUGGGAGAGGAGGCUGCGGGGUGAGAGUGGGAGAGGAGGCUACAGGGUGAGGGUGGGAGAGGAGGCUGCGGGGUGAGAGUGGGAGAGGAGGCUGCAGGGUGAGGGUGGGAGAGGAGGCUGCGGGGUGAGAGUGGGAGAGGAGGCUGCAGGGUGAGGGUGGGAGAGGAGGCUACAGGGUGAGGGUGGGAGAGGAGGCUACAGGGUGAGGGUGGGAGAGGAGGCUACAGGGUGAGGGUGGGAGUGCAGGGUGAGGGUGGGAGAGGAGGCUGCGGGGUAAGGGGGUCUGUUGGUCUGAGCCUUUCCUGCACACAUUCUGUUCCUCCACAAUCCAGUCCAGUGUCUGCAGCCCAAAUUUCACCCUAUUCCCUACAUAUCACACUACUUUACCCUAUGGGUCCUGGUCAAAUGAAGUGUGCUAU